GAGUCUGAGUCGCUGCUUUUGCGCAUGCGCAGGGGCGUCACCAGCUACUCCAUUUUUGCGGCGGUGUGGUGUGUGGCCGCCUACAUUACAUGUUUUCUCGUUAAUGUGUGCUUCACUGCGUAGUUUGCAAGGCACCUGACUGAUUGCAAGCAACAGUGUGUGUCUUCUGUAUCCUGUCUCACUGUAAAGGUGCACCAUGAGUAACACAAGGGAUGAUGAGUAUGACUAUUUGUUCAAAGUUGUUCUAAUUGGAGACUCAGGUGUGGGAAAGAGUAACCUGCUUUCAAGAUUCACAAGAAAUGAAUUUAACUUAGAGUCAAAGUCUACCAUUGGUGUGGAAUUCGCCACUAGGAGUAUAUCAGUUGAUGGAAAGACGAUAAAAGCACAGAUUUGGGACACUGCCGGCCAGGAGAGGUAUAGGGCCAUCACAUCAGCCUACUACCGGGGUGCAGUGGGGGCGCUGCUCGUCUACGACAUCGCCAAGCACCUGACGUACGAGAACGUGGAGCGCUGGCUGCGGGAGCUGCGCGACCACGCCGACCAGAACAUUGUCAUCAUGCUCGUAGGUAACAAGUCGGAUCUGCGACACCUGCGAGCCGUGCCGACCGACGAGGCCAAGGCCUUCGCCGAGCGCAACACGCUCAGCUUCAUCGAGACCUCGGCUCUGGACUCGACCAACGUCGAAACGGCCUUCCAGAACAUUCUCACAGAGAUAUACCGGAUCGUCUCGCAGAAACAGAUCCGCGAGCCGGCUGACGAAGACUCGCCCACCCACAACGUCAAGUCGAUUCACGUGGAGCCCACGGUCAAUACGGAUAACGUGCGCCGGCAGUGCUGCCAGAACUAGCCGGCGCGCGCGCCGCCGCCGCUGCCGCCGGCCGCCGCGGCUCCGCCACGCGACAGAAAUCUACCGAAUCAUGUCGCAGAAGCAGAUACCGGACCACGGUGACGACGCGCCGCGCCCCUCCUCGGCUGGACCCAUCACCAUCGAGCCCACCGACGACUCGGGCCCCGGCAGGAAGCAGUGCUGCUAGUGCGCCCGCCGCCCGCCGCCCCGACAGCGAGCGGCCCCGACCGGCAAACACACCACACAACACACACACAUACACUGAUACACACAGACACACACGCGCGUGCGCGCCGAGCGGCUUUUUUACAGCUAUUUAUUGGAGGCAAUUGUGAUAUAUUGCUACGCGUUCGGCCUCACGCCGCAAAAGUGUUGAAAAUUCAGCCGCCACUCUUCGCCGCCGGCCGCGAUGGCGCGGGCGCGGCGCCGCCGGUCCCCGCGGCCCACUCUCUUGUUAUAUGGCCCAUUCCGCCGCGCGAGGGGUUGUGUUUACUUGUGGUCGCGUAACCAGUCUUUUGUAUCCGUCGCGUUAGUGUCGCGCGCGCCUGCGCACGUGUCUAAAACAGUCCCUUGUUUAACCUGCCGGCGCGGCGGUCGCGCGCGCGCCGCCGUAUCUGCCAAAGUUUAGUUUGGGUACUGGGUAGAGGCGCCCUGCGCGCUGCCGGCGGCAGUGCCUGGCUGCGCUGCGCCCGGGCGGCUGUAAUAAGGCACGCCCGGCGCCCGGACGGCCUUGCCGCUUGUUGUGCCUUUAGUUGCGCGCGCGGGUGCCGGCGGGAGAGAGCCGGCACCGUGGCUACCGCCGUCUCUGUGCGCCGCGAGCGCGCUGGCAGUAGCUGUGAAACAGUUUCCGUAAACCAUGUUGAGACCUUAUUGAAUAAAAUAGUCAUAUCAA
rnacentral:misc_RNA from 1 species